rnacentral:sRNA from 1 species
UCAUUGGUUAAAUGACCACAAAAUAGGUGAAUUUAGUGGAUGGUUAUGCGUUUUAAACCUACUCUUAGAUUUGUAUAGAAUCUGUAACCUUUUAUAAAUGCGGAAAACAGAAAACGAAUCUGUAACUAUGGAAGAGAAUCCAAGCAUGUUUUCUCUAUAAUGAAUGUUUGGAGUUACAACUAGAAAUAGAGAAGAAAAUCGGAUGAAACUAGUUCAAGAUAUUGGCAAGUUCACCAUUUUCAUACAUUGAGGUCAAAAUAUCACAUCCUCCUACAAGUUCUCCUUUCACAAAUAUCUGUGGAAACGUUGGCCAAUUGCUGUAGUUCUUAAGCGUCUCCCUUAGCCCAUGAUUAUACUCAUCGUCAAGAACAUCAACAGUUUCAUAAUCAACUCCUUGGCUUUCAAGAAUCCCAACAACUCUCUGUGAGAAUCCACAUUGAGGAGCACUCCUUGAUCCUUUUAUGAAAGCUACCACUUUGCUCUCUUUCACUAAACGGUCAAUCAGUUCCUCCAAAGGAACCGUGAGCUCAACAUGGCGACCUGGAGUGAGACGGAUAUCGGAUUUCUUCCUCGGAGUUUGUUUGACAAAUGUGUUGUUCCCUGACUUAUUCCCCGGCGGAACUUUUCCAGUUACUUUUAUAUGUUCUUCUAUCCAUAAUUUCCAUGCUUGUGUUAAAACUGCUUUAUCUGGUUCUUCUACUAUUCCAACCUAGCAAAACAAUGAUGAAAUCAGUUAUGGAAGAUAUAUCAACAAUACCAAAACUUGUCAAUAUCCAUCACAUGAGCAUAAACAAAGUCCUAUUGAGUCAAUGGAGCAAAUAAACACUAAAAUAAUCAUAACAUAAGUAAAUCAUAAGCAAAAUAUAAGCAAUAAGUGACAAAUAAAUGAUAGAAAGAGGAAAAAUGUAAAUUCUUAAGAUAAUAAUACAACCCAUAAAAAUGUAAAUUUCUCAAGAGCAAUCUUUAGAUUUGACUGUUGUAAGCUGAUACAGUUAAGGAUCAUGGACACAAAAAAAACAAAAGCUCUUGUUAUUAAUUAAAAGAACCUGACACAGAAUGGUAAUCAAAAUGCCAAAGAGAAUCAGUUCUCUCCAUUGGUACAAAACCGAUAUACCUCUCAAACCUCGACAAAUCUCGCCAAUGCGCACUGUCCUGUAUCUAUAGAGUAGAAUUUCCCUAAAAAACUAAUCAAAAGAAAAUGCUAAAAAAACAAGUCCUAACUCCUAAGUAACAUAUACAAAAUGAACUAUUGAUGCAUCUCCUAAUCAUAAUGUGUGGUAAGUGUUGUUAAAAGAACUCUUACCAACAACAGAACCAAGAACUUCAUUAGCUCUAGUUUUGCAAACAAUAGUGAUCCUAAUGAUAUGAAAUACUAUCUCUGGAACUAAAGUGAUGAACUUUUGUAGUAUUCAUUUACCAAAACACUUCCCAAAUCUAUGAAC